UCCUCACAGCCUCUUCUCCCUUUGCUAUGGCUUUCUUCUUCAAUCUCUAGCUCAAAAUGCUUCUUCUUUGGGUGAUAAAUUUUGUUCCUUAGUGUAGCUAUAUUGAAUGCUGCUGCAGCUUCGAGACUGAGAUCUCUGAUACUAAGGUGUAUGAAAAGUUUUUUGGUGCACAAAAAUAGGGUCUAGUCCGCUUAGGCCUGUCAUCAUUUCUGUUCUGGAAGAGGGGUAGAUAAAGAGAUACACGAACCCACUGGUACCUAGAUGAUACCAAGAACCGAAGUUGCAUGUGUUGACAAUCUGACCAUGGACCCUUGAUCUACUGAGAGGCCUUUCUGAUGGUUGGUUACUUAGUCUAAGUAGCAUUUUCUUUUAUUUGUUCUCCAUCUUGUACAGAAGAAUGUGAAAAACUAUACUAACUUGUCCAGUCUGUAGAAUGAUGUGUAACUUCUAGCCUUACAUAAGAUGUCUGAUACUUAUCACUGUUUAGUAUCCUUCUAGUUGUGCUAGGUAGUUGAUGAAAUAUUGUAUAUGUGAAAGUAUUGUGCUCCACUGCCAUGUUAGCUAAAUAGUAUGCUAGUUUAUUACCCUCUCUGUAUGUAUGAACUAUCUGCACUUGCUUGCUUUUA